UCCUACGGGAGGCAGCAGUGGGGAAUAUUGCACAAUGGGGGAAACCCUGAUGCAGCCAUGCCGCGUGUGUGAAGAAGGCCUUCGGGUUGUAAAGCACUUUCAGUAGGGAGGAAGGUAGUGUAGUUAACACCUGCAUUAUUUGACGUUACCUACAGAAGAAGCACCGGCUAACUCCGUGCCAGCAGCCGCGGUAAUACGGAGGGUGCGAGCGUUAAUCGGAAUUACUGGGCGUAAAGCGCAUGCAGGUGGUUUGUUAAGUCAGAUGUGAAAGCCCGGGGCUCAACCUCGGAAUAGCAUUUGAAACUGGCAGACUAGAGUACUGUAGAGGGGGGUAGAAUUUCAGGUGUAGCGGUGAAAUGCGUAGAGAUCUGAAGGAAUACCGGUGGCGAAGGCGGCCCCCUGGACAGAUACUGGCACUCAGAUGCGAAAGCGUGGGGAGCAAACAGGAUUAGAUACCCUGGUAGUCCACGCCGUAAACGAUGUCUACUUGGAGGUUGUGGCCUUGAGCCGUGGCUUUCGGAGCUAACGCGUUAAGUAGACCGCCUGGGGAGUACGGUCGCAAGAUUAAAACUCAAAUGAAUUGACGGA
rnacentral:rRNA from 1 species